rnacentral:lncRNA from 1 species
AAACCCUAGGUUAUUUAGGUAAUCAGAAAUUAAGUCUAAGGCUUCUAGAAAUAGGAAACAAAAUCAGAAACUUAAGGGAAAUUGACUAAGGGGUGCGGCUAGGGUAUGAAACACAAAAGGAAUGUGUUUUAAUUCAAAAAAUAGGAAAUAAUCACUCUCCCUUGCACGGCAAGGAAGAGGAAAGGUCAAGGGAUGCGGUUGUCAUGUAGGAAAGGUUUAGGGAAAGGUUUAAAUGUCCUAAAACUGAAGGGAAAGGGUUCCCUUGCACGGCAAGGAAGAUGGAAUUGUGGAAAAGGCAUGUGAGGUGCGGCAUUGAUGUAAACCAUGCAAGAAAUGUGUGCUUGAUGUCCUAGAAUACUUAGAAGACCUUCAAAGUUGAUAACACUUAGGGACACUUAGGAAAGGUCAAACCAAAGUAGGAAACCUUGGCUUAACAUUCGUAACUAU